rnacentral:rRNA from 1 species
AUGCGGAGGGUGCAAGCGUUGUCCGGAUUUAUUGGGUUUAAAGGGUGCGUAGGUGGCGUGUUAAGUCAGUGGUGAAAGCCUGCAGCUCAACUGUAGAGGUGCCAUUGAUACUGACAUGCUUGAGUAUGGACGAGGUAGGCGGAAUUUGUGGUGUAGCGGUGAAAUGCAUAGAUACCACAAAGAACACCGAUAGCGAAGGCAGCUUACUGGACCAUAACUGACACUGAGGCACGAAAGUGUGGGGAGCGAUCCGGAUUAGAUACCCGAGUAGUCC